GCGAAAGACUAAUCGAACCAUCGAGUUGCUGGUUUCCUUCGAAGUUUCCCCCAGGAUAGCUAGGGUAAAGAGAGCUCCAUCAGGUAAAGCGAAUGAUUAGAAGUACCGGGGCUGAAACAGCCUCGACUUAUUCUCAAACUUUAAAUGGGUGGGAUUCGGUUGCUGCUUAAUUGAGCAUCCGAUUUUGAGUCGAUACCCUUAGUGGGCCAUUUUUGGUAAGCAGAACUGGCGAUGCGGGAUGAUCCGAACACAGAGUUAAAGUGCCAGAAUGUACGCUCAUCAAGACCCCACAAAAGGUGUUAGUUCAUACAGACAGUUGGGCGGUGGCCAUGGAAGUCGGAAUCCGCUAAGGAAUGUGUAA
rnacentral:rRNA from 1 species